rnacentral:pre_miRNA from 3 species
UUCGGCUAAGCGCUUUGGCAGUGUGGUUAGCUGGUUGUGUAAUUUUAUUUAAAAUCACAGCCACUAUCUUCACUGCCGCCGCGAUAAGCUGUAU